AUUGAACGCUGGCGGCAUGCUUUACACAUGCAAGUCGAACGGUAACAGGCCUUCGGGCGCUGACGAGUGGCGAACGGGUGAGUAAUGCAUCGGAACGUGCCCAGUCGUGGGGGAUAACGCAGCGAAAGCUGUGCUAAUACCGCAUACGAUCUGUGGAUGAAAGCGGGGGACCUUCGGGCCUCGCGCGAUUGGAGCGGCCGAUGUCAGAUUAAGUAGGUGGUGGGGUAAAGGCUCACCAAGCCAACGAUCUGUAGCUGGUCUGAGAGGACGACCAGCCACACUGGGACUGAGACACGGCCCAGACUCCUACGGGAGGCAGCAGUGGGGAAUUUUGGACAAUGGGCGCAAGCCUGAUCCAGCAAUGCCGCGUGCAGGAAGAAGGCCUUCGGGUUGUAAACUGCUUUUGUACGGAACGAAACGGUCCUGGUUAAUACCUGGGGCUAAUGACGGUACCGUAAGAAUAAGCACCGGCUAACUACGUGCCAGCCGCCGCAGUAAAAC
rnacentral:rRNA from 1 species